rnacentral:rRNA from 1 species
ACAGUGGACGCGAGCAUCUGUGGCCAAGUUUUUAAGGGCGCACGGUGGAUGCCUUGGCACCAGGAACCGAUGAAGGACGUGGGAGGCCGCGAUAGGCCCCGGGGAGCUGUCAACCGAGCUUUGAUCCGGGGGUGUCCGAAUGGGGAAACCCGGCAGUCGUCAUGGGCUGUCACCCAUACCUGAACACAUAGGGUAUGUGGAGGGAACGCGGGGAAGUGAAACAUCUCAGUACCCGCAGGAAGAGAAAACAACCGUGAUUCCGGGAGUAGUGGCGAGCGAAACCGGAUGAGGCCAAACCUACGACGUGUGAGACCCGGCAGGGGUUGCGUCGUGGGGGUUGUGGGAUCUCUCUUGAUCAAUCUGCCGGUUGGUCGACGAGUCAGAAACCGUAUGAAUAGGCGAAGGGCAUGCGAAAGGCCCGGCGUAGAGGGUAAGACCCCCGUAGCUGAAAUUCUUACGGCUCGUUUGAGAGACACCCAAGUAGCACGGGGCCCGAGAAAUCCCGUGUGAAUCUGGCGGGACCACCCGCUAAGCCUAAAUAUUCCCUGGUGACCGAUAGCGGAUAGUACCGUGAGGGAAUGGUGAAAAGUACCGCGGGAGCGGAGUGAAAUAGUACCUGAAACCGUGUGCCUACAAGCCGUGGGAGCGUCGCGCAUCGAGCUUGCUCGGUGCGUCGUGACUGCGUGCCUUUUGAAGAAUGAGCCUGCGAGUUUGCGGUGUGUUGCGAGGUUAACCCGUGUGGGGAAGCCGUAGCGAAAGCGAGUCCGAAUAGGGCGGUUCAGUAGCGCGCUCAAGACCCGAAGCGGAGUGAUCUAGCCAUGGGCAGGUUGAAGCGGAGGUAAGACUUCGUGGAGGACCGAACCCACCAGGGUUGAAAACCUGGGGGAUGACCUGUGGUUAGGGGUGAAAGGCCAAUCAAACUCCGUGAUAGCUGGUUCUCCCCGAAAUGCAUUUAGGUGCAGCGUCGUGUGUUUCUUGCCGGAGGUAGAGCACUGGAUAGGCGAUGGGCCCUACCGGGUUACUGACCUUAGCCAAACUCCGAAUGCCGGUAAGUGAGAGCGCGGCAGUGAGACUGUGGGGGAUAAGCUCCAUGGUCGAGAGGGAAACAGCCCAGAGCAUCGACUAAGGCCCCUAAGCGUACGCUAAGUGGGAAAGGAUGUGGAGUCGCAGAGACAACCAGGAGGUUGGCUUAGAAGCAGCCACCCUUGAAAGAGUGCGUAAUAGCUCACUGGUCAAGUGAUUCCGCGCCGACAAUGUAGCGGGGCUCAAGCGUACCGCCGAAGUCGUGUCAUUGGCAUAUAUAGCCCCAACGGGUGUGCUGAUGGGUAGGGGAGCGUCGUGUGCCGGGUGAAGCUGCCGUGGAAGCGAGUGGUGGACGGUUCACGAGUGAGAAUGCAGGCAUGAGUAGCGAUACACACGUGGGAAACGUGUGCGCCGAUUGACUAAGGGUUCCUGGGUCAAGCUGAUCUGCCCAGGGUAAGUCGGGACCUAAGGCGAGGCCGACAGGCGUAGUCGAUGGACAACCGGUUGAUAUUCCGGUACCCGCUUUGAAACGCCCAGUACUGAAUCCUCUGAUGCUAAGGCCGUGAAGCCGCCUCUGAUCUCUUCGGAGUGAUGGGGAGUGGUGGAGCCG